rnacentral:tRNA from 1 species
GGCACUGUGGCUCAUGUGGUAGAGCACUAGCCUUGAGCAAAAAAUCCAAGUGAGAGCUCAAGGCCCUGAAUUCAAGUCUCAGCAUUGCCA